UAUGACUAGGGUAGAAAUAGUUAUGUUCUUGAAACCCAAAGAAUUUGGCGGUAUUUUAUUCUUUUUAGAGGAACCUGUCCCUUAAUUGAUAACCCACGAUGGAGAUUUACUUGUUCUUGUAAUCAAUUUGUAUACCUCCGUCAUCAGAGUAUCUUUUUAAAGAAAAUAUUCUAAUUAUACAAAAUAUAACAUGUCAGGUCAAGGUGCAAUUUAUGUUCAAGUGGAGAUGGGUUACAAUAAAUUUAUUUACACGGAUUAUUAUUAUUAUUAAUAUUAUGAAGGUGGAUUUAAAAGUAAUUUUGUUUCCUUAAUGAUUUGAUUUUAGCUCUAAAAUAUGCACACAUCGCCCGUCGCUCUUAUUUUAAAAUAAGAUAAGUCGUAACAUAGUAGGUGUACCGGAAGGUGUACCUAGUA
rnacentral:rRNA from 1 species